rnacentral:rRNA from 1 species
UACGUAGGGUGCAGGCGUUAAUCGGAAUUACUGGGCGUAAAGGGCUCGUAGGCGGCCAACUAAGUCGGACGUGAAAUCCCCAGGCUCAACCUGGGAACUGCGUCCGAUACUGGAUGGCUUGAAUUCGGGAGAGGGAUGCAGAAUUCCAGGUGUAGCGGUGAAAUGCGUAGAUAUCUGGAGGAAUACCGGUGGCGAAGGCGGCAUCCUGGACCGAUAUUGACGCUGAGGAGCGAAAGCUAGGGGAGCAAACGGG